rnacentral:rRNA from 1 species
AACGUAGGACGCAAGCGUUAUCCAGAGUUACUGGGCGUAAAGGGCGGGCAGGCGGUCUGUCAAGUGGGGUGUGAAAGCUCCCGGCUUAACCGGGAGAGGCCAUUCCAGACUGACAGACUGGAGGGCAGGAGAGGUAGGCGGAAUUCCGGGUGGAGUGGUGAAAUGCGUAGAGAUCCGGAGGAACACCAGAGGCGAAGGCG